rnacentral:rRNA from 1 species
ACGUAGGUGGCAAGCGUUAUCCGGAAUUAUUGGGAGUAAAGCGAGCGUAGGUGGUUAUAUAAGUCUGUUUUUAAAGCUCGGGGCUCAACCCCGAGAUGGAUUGGAAACUGUAUAACUUGAGUACAGUAGAGGUAAGCGGAAUUCCCAGUGUAGCGGUGAAAUGCGUAGAUAUUGGAAGGAACACCAGUGGCGAAGGCAGCUUACUGGGCUGUAACUGACACUGAGGCGCGAAAGCCAGGGGAGCAAACAG